ACCUUAGCGCGUUACGGGGCUCGGCCCUGCUCCCCGUCCUUGGAGGGGCGCCGGAUCUACCGCGCCGCGCCGCCGCCGGCUGCCUGGAGUCCCCGAGCCGCCGGCAUGUGGCGGCGUGUCUCCGUGUAAACGCCCUCACCUUCGCCUUCGCUUCGCCUUCGUCUUCGCAGACAAAGAGCCGAGGUCUCCUGCCUGCGGUGGCCGAGGCUCGGGGAGGAAGCGCUCGACGCCGACGCCGGGCUGAGCUUGCACCCAGAGACCCCGGCGCAAUGAAGAGGCUGCCAGGUUACUGCAGGCACCAGGCAGCUUCCCGGGGAUGUGCCCCAGCUGGCGCUGGCUUCUCCAUUGCCUAGCAGAAACCGCUGCCCGUCUUGUCCAUCACUUGGCUUCACUCCUGCCAGGGCUGGAAUGGAGAUGGGGUUACACUGAGCUCCAGGAAGAUUCCCUGGGGGAGCAAGAGGCUGCUUCCUGCUGGAGCCAGCAUAAUGCGAAUGGAGAGGAACCUGUGUGGCUAAAAGCCUUCGCCGCCCACUGGAGCUGUUGAAUAUUUAUUCCUACUGGAAAUGAAAGGAGAGAAGAAAUCUAGGCAGCUCAGAGUGAAUCUCUACCCAGAUGAGAAGCGCCUGCGGCAGGGGGUUGUGUUUGUGCUGCCUGCAGUCCAUAAAAUAGCUCAUCUGGUCAGAUGAUGAAUGUUAUACAAAGGGCUUAGGCAAUAGUGGCCUGUCCGUCAACCCAACCCACUGCUUAGCUGGCCAUAGCUCACCUAGGGGCAGCAGUGAGGGCCCCAGCGCCUGCCAGCUAAACCCAGCUUAUCGCUAGUCCGUUGGGGAUGGGGGAUUGGCAUAAGGUCUAUGCCCUGGACUGAGGGCACAACCAGCACAACCACAGCUCUGCCACUGACUACAUGGCUCCUGAGCUGAUCUGGUCUCUCCCUCCAGCAAUGGGACCAGAGGGGAAGAAGCUCUCUGCUCUGGCUUGGGUCCAUAGGCUGCAGGGCUGGCCCUGUAUCAGGUUCAGUGGAUCCUCAAAGCACGGAUUGCGUUGGCAGAUGGGCAUCUCUCCAUACCCUGAGCUGAGGAAGAAGGUGCUGGUGCGAUUUGGGGGGAGGGAUUGGUUCAUUUCUCUCCUGCUGAGCCCUAGACAGAGAUCUAGGGGCCCCCGGGGGUUCCCUUUCUCUCACCCUUUCUUUCGUGGCAGGAUGCCCCUUGCCACAGUCUGACUCUUCCCCCACCCUGGCGCUGCACAGGUUUCAUGCUAGGUUACAGACGGAUGAGGCCCAUCAACUCCCACCCCCCGGGGAGCCAGGCCAUGACUGUUCACAGGACAGCACACACAUCUGGGCUUUGACCAGUCCAGCUUAAACAAUUCCCACAGGCAGACAGAGUCAUUGUCAAGUCCUCUCUCCCACCCUCCCUCCCUGCUGCUCUAACUCCUACUAGCCACAGAGCCCAAGACCCAGCACUGCCUCAUCUCUGGCCUUGGCUCCUUGGGAUGCUGUCCAGACACAACGCUGUGUUCUCUGGACCACCUGAGCCCUGAGGGCUGUAUUCUCAGAAGGCCUGGGGUUUGCUCAGCUCCAGCACAGCAUACUCCCUGCCCCCAUGCUGCAGUCACAGACCCAUGCAGUUAUGUUUUACCCCCACCUCGGCCUCUCCAAUGUAGUCAUUUCUCAGGUGACUUGCUGUAAGAAUAGAACCCAAGGACUGAACCCUCCUUUGCCAGCCCAGCUGGAUCAGUUCCCCCUGCUCAGUUAGCUUCUUUUCCCUCCUGGUGACUAGCUCCCCAUCCCCACCAUACCCCAGCACAGGUCACUUACCCAAGCUGCUCCUCUGUUCAGAGCUCUAGCCACAGAGCAGAUCUGUCCCAGCGUCGGCUGCCCUGGGAGCACAUACUAAAGUGCCUUGGAAAUAACUAGGUUAGGCAGCUGGAGGACAAGCUCUGUGUGUGCGCCUGUAGCUUUAAAUUCUCUACCUGUCACUUGUGCCUGCUCACAGUCUCCUUCCCUGGCAGGGAGGAGGGGAUGCUGCUGCUGCAGUGAGGUUACUCACAGUCAAACUCCAGCCACUGCUGCUCAGCUCCAUUGCCUUGGAAAAACCUGCCAUCCUUCCCAGCACCCUCCCGUUCCUGCAGAGGAUGGGGCAGGGGGGGCAGCACGGGGAGGAGAUACUGGAAAUGACUCUCCAUGUCACAGCUAUUUUCAGAAUCACCCUGGUUCCCUCCCGCCCUCGCCCCCCAAUGUUUGCACAUGACAAACCAGAAUAAGAACAGAGUUGCUGGUUCUUAAGGCCCCCGUGGUGGUGGUGGCUUCUAGGUAGCUGGGGUUGGCCAACCUGCUCCACUGGGGCGCUGCUGUUGGACUCCUCAGCCAUUCCAACAGAGAUAAUAAGGGGCUGGUCUGAGCAGCAUUGCCCAGGCCUGAGAACUUCCCCCAGUGCCCCCUGCAUGGAGCCCAAUAGCCAGCGGCUGAGCUGCUGAUUGUUGCUCACAAGAUGCCCAGCCUGAGUUCUAGCUCUCUAUUGGUCCAUACCUGCCUCCAGCCGACUAGUAUCUGAGCACCUCACGCUCUUCACCGUAUUGAUCCCCUCAGCCUGCCUGUCACGAGAUAGGGCAGCACUCUUUGAGAUCAAUAAACAUAAAGGACUUUACAAGAGCUAGUUGUUGCUAUCCGCAUUUUACAGAUGGGAAACUGAGGCACAAAGGGAUUAAGAGUCUUGCCCAAGAUCACAUAGACUGGAGUAGAGUAGGGAAUUGAACCCAUGUCUAAUUUUUCCCAGGCUAGGGUGUUAGCCACUGUCCAGCCUUCCUCCCAGUUAA